GUAGUGCAGGUAUCUGCAAUGGCGGGCAGGGAGAUCCAGUCGCGGCAUGCAAUCAGUUUUGCGCUAAUCGAUACAAGGCUAUCGAGUACGACAACGGAGCGAAGGUGCCUGUGUGUAAGGGUAGCUGCAAGUUGAAGAUAUGUUUGUGCCACUUGAACCCGGACCUCCUCAUCCCAAAGGCUCCCAAUUUCUAUCAAAGGUGGUCCUUCAAUUCAAAGCCAUCUGUCAGAGGCAAGUACUAUGAGGCUCAUGAGUACCGGCUGAAGUACGGAAGCGCGAAAUCAAAGGAAGCAGCAAAGAAUGAUAACUACCUGACAUCGACACGGUGCUGAUGAAUUUUUUUUUGUUCAAAAUCCCUAUUGCGAUUGUAUGCGUUCUGAUAAAGAAGUUUAAAAAAAUGUUAGAAUUUAAAAAAUUGAA